rnacentral:rRNA from 1 species
GAUGAACGCUGGCGGCGUGCUUAACACAUGCAAGUCGAACGGGAUUACAGGAAGGUUUACCGGAAUGUAAUCUAGUGGCGGACGGGUGAGUAACGCGUGAGGAUCUGUCCUUAUCUGGGGGACAACAGUUGGAAACGACUGCUAAUACCCCAUAGGCCGCAAGGUGAAAGGCGUAAGCCGGAGAGGGAGGAACUCGCGUCCUAUCAGCUAGUAGGCGAGGUAAGAGCUCACCUAGGCGAUGACGGGUAGCCGGCCUGAGAGGGCGCACGGCCACACUGGAACUGAGAUACGGUCCAGACUCCUACGGGAGGCAGCAGUGGGGAAUAUUGGGCAAUGGGGGCAACCCUGACCCAGCGACGCCGCGUGAGGGAUGAAAUCUCUUGGGAUGUAAACCUCUGUUGUACGGGAAGAAAAAAAUGACGGUACCGUACGAGGAAGCCCCGGCAAACUACGUG